rnacentral:rRNA from 1 species
GAUGAACGCUGGCGGCGUGCCUAAUACAUGCAAGUCGAGCGCGAUCAUGAGGAGCUUGCUCCUCAUGAUCGAGCGGCGGACGGGUGAGUAACACGUAGGCAACCUACCCUUGAGAUUGGGAUAACUACCGGAAACGGUAGCUAAUACCGGAUAUGGCUUUUCCACAUAAGUGGAAUGGUUAAAAGGCGGAGUUAUCUGCCGCCCAUGGAUGGGCCUGCGGUGCAUUAGCUAGUUGGUGAGGUAGUGGCUCACCAAGGCGACGAUGCAUAGCCGACCUGGGAGGGUGAUCGGCCACACUGGGACUGAGACACGGCCCAGACUCCUACGGGAGGCAGCAGUAGGGAAUCUUCCGCAAUGGACGAAAGUCUGACGGAGCAACGCCGCGUGAGUGAUGAAGGGUUUCGGCUCGUAAAACUCUGUUGUUAAGGAAGAACACUUGAGGUAGUAACUGGCCUUGAGAUGACGGUACUUAACCAGAAAGCCACGGCUAACUACGUGCCAGCAGCCGCAGUAA